GAUCCUGGCUCAGGAUGAACGCUAGCGAUAGGCUUAACACAUGCAAGUCGAGGGGCAGCAUGGUCUUAGCUUGCUAAGACUGAUGGCGACCGGCGCACGGGUGCGUAACGCGUAUGCAACUUGCCUCACAGAGGGGGAUAACCCGUCGAAAGACGGACUAAUACCGCGUACACUCCACCUUGGGCAUCCAAGGAGGAGGAAAUGAAUUUCGCUGUGAGAUAGGCAUGCG
rnacentral:rRNA from 1 species